rfam:Camelus ferus unplaced genomic scaffold scaffold1058, whole genome shotgun sequence.
GAGGGUAUGGCUCAGAGGUAGAGAGCAUGCUUAGCAUGCAUGAAGUCCUGGGUUCAAUCCCUAGUACCUCCA